UUUAUCCGGCGGCCGCCAUUUAAUUCCUCGGUUGCAAAAACUUGAGAACAUUAAGCUCUUUUUGACAGCUUUCAGAACUGACAGUUUGCUCAUAAUUGCCUUUUGGAAACAGGACAAUGUGCUUUUGAUAUUAGGAUACUGUUCAGACAGUGAGGACAUCUCUGGACUCUACAUGGGAAACUAGUGACAAGAAGCCAAGAUUCAUUAAAAGUUCAAGACCAGCAAAGGCAAUGUUUCGUAAAAACAAGGGACAAGAACUCAUCAGUAGGAUUUGAAGCGUUGCAUGGUUGGAGUAAUAACCAGGUGACGUUUGGGGUAGCACCAUUUGUAAAUCUCUUUUGAGUAAUGUUGGUUCUCAACCAGUGAAUGAAAACACACAAUUUCCCCAGUACACUACUCACAAGAGAUUUUCACCUUGCACACACAUCACCUGAAGAACCCAUCAGAAGAAACAUCAGCCAUCAACGCUAAUGAUGUUGGAAUUGUAUUACACGAUACUAAACUGUAAAAAAAAAA